rnacentral:rRNA from 1 species
GAUGAACGCUGGCGGCGUGCUUAACGCAUGCAAGUCGAACGAAGCACUUUAUUUGAUUUCCUUCGGGACUGAUUAUUUUGUGACUGAGUGGCGGACGGGUGAGUAACGCGUGGGUAACCUGCCUUGUACAGGGGGAUAACAGUUGGAAACGGCUGCUAAUACCGCAUAAGCGCACAGCAUCGCAUGAUGCAGUGUGAAAAACUCCGGUGGUAUAAGAUGGACCCGCGUUGGAUUAGCUAGUUGGUGAGGUAACGGCCCACCAAGGCGACGAUCCAUAGCCGACCUGAGAGGGUGACCGGCCACAUUGGGACUGAGACACGGCCCAAACUCCUACGGGAGGCAGCAGUGGGGAAUAUUGCACAAUGGGCGAAAGCCUGAUGCAGCGACGCCGCGUGAGCGAAGAAGUAUUUCGGUAUGUAAAGCUCUAUCAGCAGGGAAGAUAAUGACGGUACCUGACUAAGAAGCACCGGCUAAAUACGUG